UGAGGAAUAUUGCGCAAUGGGCGAAAGCCUGACGCAGCGACGCCGCGUGGAGGAUGAAGGUUUUCGGAUUGUAAACUCCUGUUAAGUGGGAAGAAACGACAAAAUAUAAUACAUUUUGUAACUGACGGUACCAUUAAAGAAAGCACCGGCUAACUUCGUGCCAGCAGCCGCGGUAAUACGAGGGGUGCAAGCGUUAUUCGGAAUUAUUGGGCGUAAAGGGUGCGUAGGCGGCGUAUUAAGUCAACUGUUAAAACCUCCAGCCUAACUGGAGAUCAGCAGUAGAUACUGGUAUGCUAGAGGAUGGAAGAGAGAAGUGGAAUUCUUGGAGUAGCGGUGGAAUGCGUAGAUCUCAAGAGGAACACCAAUGGCGAAGGCAGCUUCUUGGUCCAUAUCUGACGCUGAUGCACGAAAGCGUGGGGAGCAAACAGGAUUAGAUACCCUGGUAGUCCGCGCCGUAAACGAUGAUCACUAGAUGUUAAUUCUGCUUGCAGAAUUAGUGUCGUAGCUAACGCGAUAAGUGAUCCGCCUGGGGGACUACGGUCGCAAGAUUAAAA
rnacentral:rRNA from 1 species